rnacentral:rRNA from 1 species
GAUGAACGCUAGCGGCAGGCUUAAUACAUGCAAGUCGAGGGACAGCACAGGUAGCAAUACUGGGUGGUAACCGGCAAACGGGUGCGGAACACGUACACAACCUUCCUUUAAGUGGGGGAUAGCCCAGAGAAAUUUGGAUUAAUACCCCGUAAUAUAGUUGAAUGGCAUCAUUUGAUUAUUAUAGCUACGGCGCUUAAUGAUGGGUGUGCGGCUGAUUAGAUAGUUGGCGGGGUAACGGCCCACCAAGUCUACGAUCAGUAGCUGAUGUGAGAGCAUGAUCAGCCACACGGGCACUGAGACACGGGCCCGACUCCUACGGGAGGCAGCAGUAAGGAAUAUUGGUCAAUGGACGCAAGUCUGAACCAGCCAUGUCGCGUGAAGGAUUAAGGUCCUCUGGAUUGUAAACUUCUUUUAUUUGGGACGAAAAAGGGCCUUUCUAGGUCAACUGACGGUACCAGAUGAAUAAGCACCGGCUAACUCCGUGCCAGCAGCCGCAGUAAUAC